rnacentral:rRNA from 1 species
GAUGAACGCUGGCGGCGUGCCUAAUACAUGCAAGUCGAGCGAACAGACGAGGAGCUUGCUCCUCUGACGUUAGCGGCGGACGGGUGAGUAACACGUGGGACCUACCUAUAAGACUGGGAUAACUCCGGGAAACCGGCUAAUACCGGAUAACACAUGAAACCGCAUGGUUUCAUGAUGAAAGACGGUUUUGCUGUCACUUAUAGAUGGACCCGCGGCGUAUUAGCUAGUUGGUAAGGUAACGGCUUACCAAGGCAACGAUACGUAGCCGACGAGGGUGAUCGGCCACACUGGAACUGAGACACGGUCCAGACUCCUACGGGAGGCAGCAGUAGGGAAUCUUGCAAUGGGCGAAAGCCUGACGGAGCAACGCCGCGUGAGUGAUGAAGGUCUUCGGAUCGUAAAACUCUGUUAUUAGGGAAGAACAAGGAUGUAAGUCUAUGCAUCCCUUGACGGUACCUAAUCAGAAAGCCACGGCUAACUACGUGCCAGCAGCCGCGGUAAUACGGGUGGCAAGCGUUAUCCGGAAUUAUUGGGCGUAAAGCGCGUAGGCGGUUUUUUAAGUCUGAUGUGAAAGCCCACGGCUCAACCGUGGAGGGUCAUUGGAAACUGGAAAACUUGAGUGCAGAAGAGGAAAGUGGAAUUCCAUGUGUAGCGGUGAAAUGCGCAGAGAUAUGGAGGAAAGUGGCGAAGGCGACUUUCUGGUCUGCAACUGACGCUGAUGUGCGAAAGCGUGGGGAUCAAACAGGAUGAUACCCUGGUAGUCCACGCCGUAAACGAUGAGUGCUAAGUGUUAGGGGGUUUCCGCCCCUUAGUGCUGCAGCUAACGCAUUAAGCACUCCGCCUGGGGAGUACGGCCGCAAGGCUGAAACUCAAAGGAAUUGACGACCCGCACAAGCGGUGGAGCAUGUGGUUUAAUUCGAAGCAACGCGAAGAACCUUACCAAAUCUUGACAUCUUUGACAACUCUAGAGAUAGAGCUUUCCCCUUCGGGGGACAAAGUGACAGGUGGUGCAUGGUUGUCGUAGCUCGUGUCGUGAGAUGUUGGGUUAAGUCCCGCAACGAGCGCAACCCUUAAGCUUAGUUGCCAGCAUUAAGUUGGGCACUCUAAGUUGACUGCCGGUGACAAACCGGAGGAAGGUGGGGAUGACGUCAAAUCAUCAGCCCCUUAUGAUUUGGGCUACACACGUGCUACAAUGGACGGUACAAAGGGCAGCGAACCCGCGAGGUCAGAAAUCCCAUAAAGCCGUUCUCAGUUCG